CGGUCACGAAACGCUAAACCCUAAGCUCUCGUUCCUCCUCCACUCCUCAUUCCACUGAUCAAAAACAUCUUCUUCCUCCUUUUCUGAUUUGGAGUAAUCCACAGCAGUGGUCGCCUCUUGCGAGUUCGUCCAUCUUCUUCCUUCCCUGCCGUCUGCCCAUCGAAGCAGACCUAGGGUUUGGAGUAGGGGACCUUGCCGCACCAACUUAUUGAAACGGUUUGGAAGUUGUUCGGGGAUUGUUUGACAUAUACAAGUCGAGAUCUGACUUGUAGGCGCGAAUACCAAGAAUUUUGAGGGGCGCGGUGGAUACGACUGAAACCAUUCAACACUGACACCCCCUCUUGUUCUCUUUUACGGUGAAUUAAACUGCGAAGGAUGACGGAGAGCAAAGGAUCUAGGCUCGCUGAGCACGUUCCCUUGCCGUACCCUCCGUAUGUCAACACUAUCGAAAAUACGACUAAUUUGUCCUUGGCUGCUAGAGCUAUCAUAUUCAUAACCAACUUAUUAUGUUGACUUUCAUCCACUUCAUCACUCGAUAUGCAUUAAGCUGACAUGAAACUAUUUGUUGUUUUUUAUUCUUUUUUUCGUAAAUUUUAAUUUCUAUGAUUUUUAUUAAUUGUUAAGCUUAUUUUUUUAAGUAAUCAAGUUAAGUGGAAGAAUAUUAUAAAAUUAAAAUUUGUGUAAAUUCAUCUUAACUUGCAUUAAGUAUAAAAUGAGUUAUUUUUAAUUUAACUUUUCUAAUUGAUAUUGACAUGUUCUUUUAAAUUGAAAUUACAAAUUACAAGUCAUAUGUGGGAGGUUGUCAGUAGCUGGGAAGAUUGACAAGAUGUUAAAUAUGUACAAUAUAUUGAUCAGAAGAAAGAGUAUUUGCACUGCAUUGAUAAAAUAGAAGAAAAAUUGAAUAAAUAUGAAAGUUUAAAGGAAGAACAUAAAACAAAAUUAGAGGAGUUGGAAAAAAAUUAUAUGUUGUUGUUGGAGGAAAUGAAGGAGAUGAAACAGUUUAUGUUGAAGAGAGCGGUGAUAUGGGAGAACAAGUAUAAAGAUACAUCAUAAUAAAAUAAAUCUGAUAAUGAUAAUUUGCUAGAAAAUGCUAUUACUAGUGGUGAUAUGGAAUAACAAGCUGAAGAAAUGAA